rnacentral:rRNA from 1 species
UAUCUCUGUAGAGUCUGCAUAUCAAUAAGCGGAGGAAAAGAAACUAACUAGGAUUCCCUUAGUAACGGCGAGUGAAGCGGGAAGAGCUCAAAUUUGAAAUCUUCAAGGUCUUACCUUGACGAAUUGUAGUUUAAAGAAGUGUUUUCUGUUGAGGUUUUGGUAAAAGUUCUUUGGAAUAGGACAUCAUAGAGGGUGAGAAUCCCGUAUUUGACCUUUACUUUCAACUUUGUGAUACACUUUCAAAGAGUCGGAUUGUUUGGGAAUGCAGUCCAAAAUGGGUGGUAAAUUUCAUCUAAAGCUAAAUAUUGGCGAGAGACCGAUAGCGAACAAGUACCGUGAGGGAAAGAUGAAAAGAACUUUGAAAAGAGAGUUAAACAGUACGUGAAAUUGUCAAAAGGGAAGCGUUUGACACCAGUGUUGCUUUUCUGAAAAUCGAUUAAAGAACUGUUUAUGCUAAGUUGUUUAGACUUUAUCAGCUAACUGUUUAGUUUUGAGCUUUUCUUUAAUGCACUUUUCAGUUAACAAGUCAACAUCAAUUUCUUUUGCUGUAAAAAAGCUUGAGGAAGGUGGCUUGAGAUUCGUCUUAAGUGUUUAUAGCCUCUUGCCUAUGCAGUCGGAGAGAUUGAGGUCUGCAGCGUAGAUCCUUCGGGGCUAAAUGCAUUUGUGCUAAGUUAUAGCAUUUUAUAGACAACUUGUUGACUAUGAUUUGUCUUGUAGCUUACUCGCUUAUGUUAUUUUACCUACGCUUAGGAUGUUGACGAUCAGCUGAGCGCGC